rnacentral:rRNA from 1 species
UACGAAGGGGGCUAGCGUUGUUCGGAAUUACUGGGCGUAAAGCGCACGUAGGCGGAUAUUUAAGUCAGGGGUGAAAUCCCAGAGCUCAACUCUGGAACUGCCUUUGAUACUGGGUAUCUAGAGUAUGGAAGAGGUGAGUGGAAUUCCGAGUGUAGAGGUGAAAUUCGUAGAUAUUCGGAAGAACACCAGUGGCGAAGGCGACUUACUGGACACAUAUUGACGCUGAGGUGCGAAAGCGUGGGGAGCAAACAGG